rnacentral:rRNA from 1 species
UACGGGAGGCAGCAGUGGGGAAUAUUGGACAAUGGGCGAAAGCCUGAUCCAGCAACGCCGCGUGAGGGAUGACGGCCUUCGGGUUGUAAACCUCUUUCAGCGGGGACGAAGCGAAAGUGACGGUACCCGCAGAAGAAGCACCGGCCAACUACGUGCCAGCAGCCGCGGUAACACGUAGGGUGCAAGCGUUGUCCGGAAUUAUUGGGCGUAAAGGGCUCGUAGGCGGUCCGUCACGUCGGGAGUGAAAACUCGGGGCUCAACCCCGAGCCUGCUUCCGAUACGGGCGGACUAGAGGUAGGUAGGGGAGAACGGAAUUCCUGGUGUAGCGGUGGAAUGCGCAGAUAUCAGGAGGAACACCGGUGGCGAAGGCGGUUCUCUGGGCCUUACCUGACGCUGAGGAGCGAAAGCGUGGGGAGCGAACAGGAUUAGAUACCCUGGUAG